rnacentral:tRNA from 1 species
GGAAGAGCAACGUUCCCGGUGGGGCGCCUGGUCUUCAAAACCAGUGAGGCGUUUAANUGCGUCUGGUGGGUUCGACUCCUACCUCUUCCGCCA